UACGUAGGGUGCGAGCGUUAAUCGGAAUUACUGGGCGUAAAGCGUGCGUAGACGGUUACAUAAGUCGGGUGUGAAAGCCCCGGGCUCAACCUGGGAAUUGCAUUCGAUACUGGAUAGCUAGAGUUCGGCAGAGGGAAGCGGAAUUUCCGGUGUAGCGGUGAAAUGCGUAGAUAUCAGGAAGAACACCCGUGGCGAAGGCGGCUCUCUGGUACGUGACUGACGCUGAGACGCGAAAGCGUGGGGAGCGAACAGG
rnacentral:rRNA from 1 species